AGUGAACGCUGGCGGCAGGCCUAACACAUGCAAGUCGAGCGGCAGCGCGUCCGACCACCCUCGGGUGGUCGGAUGGCGGCGAGCGGCGGACGGGUGAGGAAUGCAUCGGAAUCUGCCUCGUUGUGGGGGAUAACGUAGGGAAACUUACGCUAAUACCGCAUACGACCUACGGGUGAAAGUGGGGGACCUUCGGGCCUCACGCGAUGAGGUGAGCCGAUGCCGGAUUAGCUAGUUGGCGGGGUAAAGGCCCACCAAGGCGACGAUCCGUAGCUGGUCUGAGAGGAUGAUCAGCCACACUGGAACUGAGACACGGUCCAGACUCCUACGGGAGGCAGCAGUGGGGAAUAUUGGACAAUGGGGACAACCCUGAUCCAGCCAUGCCGCGUGUGUGAAGAAGGCCU
rnacentral:rRNA from 1 species